rnacentral:misc_RNA from 1 species
AAAAUGGGUCCAACGACUCCCAAAACCUACCGUGCUCCCCAUGCGGAAAGCAGUUAGCCCUCGCUGGCAAAUGGAAUCUAAGAGAACUCGCGCCCCGGCGCAGAAUCAUUAAAUCA